rnacentral:sRNA from 1 species
AGUCCUUUCUGCCCUGUGUCUCGGUGUCUGUGGCGUGAGCCCCCGGUUGACCCCUGCACUCAGUCCAACUUGGGCCAAAUGACCGCCCCUCCUUCUGGCAGUGGGCUGGACCAGCCGGCCAGCGGGAGCCCCCUUGGCAGAGGCCGGUUGUAAAGGAUCAUAAAGUGGGCGGCGUCUGGCUGGGGCGAAGGUCGCUGAGACUGCUCUGUGAACAAGAACAUCUUUGAAGUAGAGGAGAACAAGAAUGUCACCGAGCCGCUGGUGGACAUCCACGUCCCGGAGGGCCAGGAGGUGACCCUCGGACCCUUGUCCACCCCCUUCGCAUUUCGGAUCCAGGGAAACCAGCUGUUUCUCAAUAUGACUCCUGAUUACGAGGAAAACUCACUGCUUGAGGCUCAGCUGCUGUGUCAGAGCGGAGGCACACUG